rnacentral:rRNA from 1 species
AUGGCAGCGGUGGAUCUGAUCGCGUCCUGCCAAGACUCCAUCCGCCAGAUUGGAGAUGAGAUUGCAGAUGCGCUAGUGUACCUAGAUGCAGGCACUCUGGAGGCGUUCCAGUUUAUAGGAGCAUUCCCUCUGCUUCUCGAGCUCAGAGCUCGUGCGGUGUGCAGCUUGGAAAGCACGUCUCCUCUUGAUGCUGCUGCUGAGUGGAAUUCAAGUUUUGCUCAUCCAGCAAGGAAGAUUGUCUUUAUUACAUCACGCCUUCUUAGUGAUGCACAUCGGUAUAUUAUACGCUGCUUGGGCAACCAUGGAACUGUUUCACAUUGUACUGUAUUGACAGCGAUUUCCGAGAUUGGUCACUCAGCAUACGUUGAUUCCCCACUCGGACCAGAUGCUUUCCGGGAGUAUGAGAUAUUACUCAUUCAGGACCAUGAGGAGCUUCUAAAGAAGUGUGGGAAGUUGAACAAGGACAAAGAUAACAUCCCAUACACAGAAAGAGAUUUCACCUCAGAUGGUGAUACUAAGUGGGGUUCUGGGGUGCACUAUGGCCCUUCUGAAUCUAGCCCGAGAAAAAAGGAUUUUUCUGAUGAUGACUUAGGUCAGGUUGAACCAAGAGGAAAGAGGUUGUCUGUAACCGUGUGUCACUUUCCGAUGAUUUUCUCUCCUAUUUCCUCAAGGACUUUUGUUUUACCUUCGGAAGGUACAAUUGCUGAAUCAUAUUUGUCAAAUCACCGUGAGGAUUCCCUUAGCCCUGGUCUACCCUCCAUAUCUACUGGUAAACCUUUUGAUGGCGAUGAGGUCCCCCCAGGACUAACCUUGACUGCUCAAUUCUUGUACCACUUGGCCAAUAAGAUGGACCUAAAGCUUGAUAUAUUUUCACUUGGUGAUACAUCAAGGGCCAUUGGGAAGUUGAUGAUGGAUAUGUCAAGUCUAUAUGACGUUGGUCGUAAUAAGAGUUCUGCUGGUCUACUGAUUGUAGAUCGUACAAUUGAUCUCCUAACUCCUUGCCUUCAUGGCGACUCAUUUCUUGAUAGGAUGCUGUCCUCGUUGCCACGCAAGGAAAGGACUUCAUCCUGUUAUGCGGCAAAAAAUCCUCAAACUCCCAGCAAGCAUUCCCAAGCUACUGUAAAACGUUCCCCACUAGAUAUAAAGGUCCCUCUUGAAUCAGCCUUUAGCAAGGAAGAAACUAAGAGCAGAACCAGUGUGCUGUCUGAAAGUAUGAUGGCAUUUGUGUCUGGCUGGAACUCUGCUGAGGUUGACUCCGAAGUUACCUGGCUACCUGAUUAUUCUGACGAAGCACAUGAUGGCAAAGUAGGCACUCUAAGUGGCUCUUUCCUAUCCAACCAUGCUGGAGUGCGCUACUUAGAAGCAUUACUAGACAGAGGAGCAAAAGAUGGGUUGGUGUUGAUUAAGAAAUGGCUUAUGGAGGCUUUACAGCUUGAAAAGCUGUCCUCUCCAUCUAAAGGUCGACAGACGGCUUCUAUUUCAGAGCUUCGUUCUAUGGUGCAGAUGCUCUGUCAACACGAGCUGUCCUUGGUAAGAAACAGAGGGGUUAUUCAGUUGGCACUGGCUGCUGAAAUGGCUCUCCAGGAACCUCAAAGUACUCGCUGGGAGGCCUUUACAAGUGCUGAGAGAAUAUUAAGUGUAACAUCAGCCGAGACAACUCAAAGUCUUGCCAGCGAGAUUCGUGAUUUCAUCAACACCAGCACUUCAGUGGAAUCUCACAAACAUGGUAAUACCAUGGGGUCUACGCAAGGCCUUCUGACUUUCCAGGACAUAUUACUUCUAACGAUUAUUGGGUAUAUCUUGGCUGGCGAAAACUUUCCUACAUCGAUAGCUGGUGGUCCGUUCUCUUGGGAAGAUGAACGGUCACUGAAAGAUGUUGUGGUGGACUCUAUCCUUGAGAGGCCAUCAUCUGUGAAGUUCCGGUUCCUUGAUGGUUUGGAGAAGGAACUUGAAGCUAAAGGUAGAUCUAAAGAUGGUGAUAGAAAUAAGGACUCUAGUGAGCCUAUUUCUACCACUACCGAUGAUUUUGAUGACCAGUGGGAUAACUGGGACGAUGAUGAUGAUGCUGAUCAUCAAAAAGAGGAAGCUUAUGGGGACAUGCAACUUAAGUUGGAAGUACGGGAUAGGGUAGAUCAACUCUUUAAAUUCUUUCAUAGCUUGUCCAGUAUGAGAUUACGGAAUCAAGCUCUUGGAGAAGGGUUGGCAGCACUGAGUCGGUUUGAGACUGAUAGUUACUCAAGAAAAGGCUUGCUUUAUAAGUUGAUAUUAGCUGUGUUGACGAGAUUUUACAUACCUGGCCUUGAGUACCAUUCAUCAGCUGUUGGCCAUUUAUUUAAAAGCGGAUUGGGUAGGUUUGGCCUUGGACAGUCCAAACCAAGUUUUGGGGAUCAAAGUUGUCUCAUCGUUUUUGUUGUGGGAGGUAUCAAUACUCUUGAGGUCCGGGAAGUCAUGAAGGCAAUCUCAGAGAGCGGCAGACCUGAUGUGGAGCUCAUUCUUGGUGGUACAACCCUUCUCACCCCAGAUGACAUGUUUGAGUUAAUGUUGGGCUCCAGCUUUACUUAG